UCUUAGUACCCGGAGGAAGAGAAAGAAAAUUCGAUUCCCUUAGUAGCGGCGAGCGAAACGGGAAGAGCCCAAACCAACAAGCUUGCUUGUUGGGGUUGUAGGACACUCUAUACGGAGUUACAAAGGACGACAUUAGACGAAUCAUCUGGAAAGAUGAAUCAAAGAAGGUAAUAAUCCUGUAGUCGAAAAUGUUGUCUCUCUUGAGUGGAUCCUGAGUACGACGGAGCACGUGAAAUUCCGUCGGAAUCUGGGAGGACCAUCUCCUAAGGCUAAAUACUCUCUAGUGACCGAUAGUGAACCAGUAC
rnacentral:rRNA from 1 species